rnacentral:rRNA from 1 species
GAUGAACGCUGGCGGCGUGCCUAAUACAUGCAAGUCGAGCGAACGGACGAGAAGCUUGCUUCUCUGAUGUUAGCGGCGGACGGGUGAGUAACACGUGGAUAACCUACCUAUAAGACUGGGAUAACUUCGGGAAACCGGAGCUAAUACCGGAUAAUAUUUUGAACCGCAUGGUUCAAAAGUGAAAGACGGUCUUGCUGUCACUUAUAGAUGGAUCCGCGCUGCAUUAGCUAGUUGGUAAGGUAACGGCUUACCAAGGCAACGAUGCAUAGCCGACCUGAGAGGGUGAUCGGCCACACUGGAACUGAGACACGGUCCAGACUUCUACGGGAGGCAGCAGUAGGGAAUCCUCCGCAAUGGGCGAAAGCCUGACGGAGCAACGCCGCGUGAGUGAUGAAGGUCUUCGGAUCGUAAAACUCUGUUAUUAGGGAAGAACAUAUGUGUAAGUAACUGUGCACAUCUUGACGGUACCUAAUCAGAAAGCCACGGCUAACUACGUG